UGAAGGGAAGGGAGGGGGGCAGGGAGAGAUGCUUAGAACGGAAGCAGCAACGGUCCCCAGGGCGGCUGGGUCACUGGCAGCUUGGUCUCACAGCACUGGGUGGAAGUAGCUACACUGAAGAUAAAAUGAGCUUAAAAUCAGCACAAACAAAUUCACUGAUGAGGACAGCACCACUACACGCUACACUAGUGACAGACUUGGAAUAGGAAACCUCAUAAUGGAAUUCAAAGGCAUGGCUGACUGGCCAAGAAUUCCCCGAAUAUGUUUGAUUGUGCAAUCAUUCCACAGGCUUACUGGAACAUGUGAUCACCAAGUGCACUCAACUUUUAGAUCAGAGUCGAACCACCUGAUGUUUGAAUCAUGUGAAAUGAUUUGGGGGUUCUCAGUCCAGAUCAGAACACACCCCACUAUAACAGCUACUAACUAGUCCACAUGUUGGCAGCCCCAGCUGAGGGAGGGGGUUGGAAUAUGGAGACUGAACUCCCUACUUUCAUCUACAGAGAUGAUCCCUCCAGAUCAGGUGUGAAAGCUCAUUGGCAGGUCAACAUUAAGAUGGAUUAAUUGAUCUUUCUUGACCAUAUUUCAGUGUGCAAUGCCACAGCACACAUCUUGCCCCCCCCACCCCUCCCCAGCAUCAAACUUCUAAGUACUUUUAAAA